GAAUUUAAAUUUUUAAAAAUAUUUUAAACACUUUUAACUUUUAAUCUGUAAGUUUUAUAAUCACUGAUUUUUUUUAUUGAAUUAAUGUUAACAUUAUUUGGUUGUAAAAUAAAUUAAAAUAUAAAAAAAAUUGAGGAACUAAUAUGAUUGUGGCCGAGCCACACUUUUUCUGUAAAUACCAGUCUACAGUUAAAAAAACAAAAGGGGUGGAAAAAAAUUUAGAGGCACAGGGGCGGAGAAAACAAAAGAAAAAACCCUAACCUAAGCUGAUCUACACACAAGCCGCCACUUCCCCCCCGUUUUUGCCUUGGCAAAGCAAACCAGAGAACCCACACAAAUACACAGAAGCCGCCGCCUCCCCCCCUUUCCUUUGAAAAAAAACCUCUCGGCCAUUCCAUCUCCACCUCUCACCUUCCCUCUUCCACAGCUCCACUCUCUUCCCCAGCGCCAUUCUCUCUUACUCAUCGCCAUUUCCAGACCCAACAGCCCAUUCUCCUGAACCAGCCGCCAGCUGGUGAAGACCCGGCAAUCCCCGUUCUCUUCUCCAUCUCCCCGCAGAUUAGCCUCCACAGAAGCCAGCCACCGCCUCCAGCUAGCUCCACCGUUGCCCGCAGUCCCUAAUCGGCGCAGACCGGCCUCCACCGAAACCAACCCGGAGCGGCCUGAACACAGCGGCAACCCACACACGGGUGAACUCACAGAUCGUCCCCUUCCUCAUCAACUGACUCUUCUUCAUCGGUUCAACCGCACGGAGCAGAUCUGGACCGCGAACCAACGGCCGGAUCUGCCACCAGCAGAGGGAAACGAACCGGGAGGAAGAAAGAAGACAGAGGAUGGUCAGAUCUAAAAGAAGGAAACGAUUAAAACCCAUUGCUGUUUGUGCGUUUUCUUUUUGUUGCUGGUGACGGGAUUCCUCACCACCGGCAGGAAAGUGAAGAGUGGAAGGUGUUAGAGACCCCCUGUUUCCCGGUUUGUUCUCCACGCGCCGCCACUGUUUCCGCGAUCCAGAAGCCUUCCAGCACUGUUCCCAAGGCUUUUUUUUUUGUAAUUUUCAGAUUUUGAUGUGUAUAUUUAUAUUACUGUUUGAUUUAUUUUGAAUUUAGGUAAUUGUUAACAUGUAAAUGUGGGUGUAUGGGAAAAACAUAAUAAAAAGGGAUGAAUUUUGGUAAUUGUUAACAUGUAAAUGUAAAUGUGGUUGUAUGAGAAAAACAUAAUAAAAAGGGUUGUGUGGGUUUGUAUUUUUUUAUGUUGAAAUUAUAAAAAAACAAAAAUAAUAAAAAGAAGAAAAAAGAAUUAAGUGUUUUAAUUUGUAUAUGGUCUAUUUUAAAAAUAAAUAAAAUUAUGUUGUAUUUUUUGUGAAAGUAUAAGUUUUUAUAUAUUUUGGGAUUUAAUAAUUGAUUUAUUAAAUUAUUAAGAAUUUGCUUAAUAUUUUAAAUUUUUAAACCACAUUAAACUGCGAAGCAGCUUAUCUUAUCUCGGGU
rnacentral:lncRNA from 1 species